rnacentral:rRNA from 1 species
CCUGGCGGCUGUAGCGCGGUGGUCCCACCUGACCCCAUGCCGAACUCAGAAGUGAAACGCCGUAGCGCCGAUGGUAGUGUGGGGCCUCCCCACGC